rnacentral:tRNA from 1 species
AUUUAAAUAGUUUAAUUAAGAAUAAUAAUUUGUGGUGUUAUUGGUGAAUAACUUAUUCUUUAAAUCC